CUCUUUUCCUCCUUGGCUGUCUGAAGAUAGAUCGCCAUCAUGAACGACACCGUAACUAUCCGCACUAGAAAGUUCAUGACCAACCGACUACUUCAGAGGAAACAAAUGGUCAUUGAUGUCCUUCACCCCGGGAAGGCAACAGUGCCUAAGACAGAAAUUCGGGAAAAACUAGCCAAAAUGUACAAGACCACACCGGAUGUCAUCUUUGUAUUUGGAUUCAGAACUCAUUUUGGUGGUGGCAAGACAACUGGCUUUGGCAUGAUUUAUGAUUCCCUGGAUUAUGCAAAGAAAAAUGAACCCAAACAUAGACUUGCAAGACAUGGCCUGUAUGAGAAGAAAAAGACCUCAAGAAAGCAACGAAAGGAACGCAAGAACAGAAUGAAGAAAGUCAGGGGGACUGCAAAGGCCAAUGUUGGUGCUGGCAAAAAGGUAUAGUUCAUCAAGGAAAAUAUAGAAACGUCAUUAAUUGUAGGUCUUUAGUUUCUAGGAAAGAAGGGAUCUUAUUUAUUUUUAAAAUAACUUGUCUUAAUGUUUCUUCUUUUCCCUCUUCUUCUGGAUUACAGAAGGUAACAUGUUUUAAGAAACUAUGUAGCAUAGUGUCUUAACACCUUAGUAGAGUAGCUUGGCCCACCCCUUGUCAGCUCACAGCACAAUCUGGAGGCCACAUUGGUUCAUUGAUCCUGGUGGGCACCUUUCAAGCCUAUCACAAGAAGUUUUAAUUUU
rnacentral:sRNA from 1 species